AAGCCAGUGCUUUCCUAUUGCAACGAGACCAUGACCAAACGCAGUCUCAUUGAGGGCCUCACUUACACCAAAUGCAUCAUCAUGCAACAGUCGGCGGUGGACCUGGAACAUGUCGCAUAUUAGUUAUUCCUAUACAGGAGAGGGUCACAGCCCAUCAGAUACAGCAUAAGGGAGGAUAGCAACCAGUCAAGAGUCCAUAGGAAAGAUAACAAACAGCCAAUAAGAGGGAGUUUAAGAAUUGUAAAAGUAUAAUUUAGACCACAUCUCACAAGUUUUUUAACAUAACACUGCAGCAGUUUAACUCACCGUGUUACCAAGAAUGACAUCCCUCCCAGGAUGAAUCUUAUACUUGCUGGUAUGAUGG